GACGAACGCUGGCGGCGUGCUUAACACAUGCAAGUCGAACGGAAAGGCCCUGCUUUUGUGGGGUGCUCGAGUGGCGAACGGGUGAGUAACACGUGAGUAACCUGCCCUUGACUUUGGGAUAACUUCAGGAAACUGGGGCUAAUACCGGAUAGGAGCUCCUGCUGCAUGGUGGGGGUUGGAAAGUUUCGGCGGUUGGGGAUGGACUCGCGGCUUAGCAGCUUGUUGGUGGGGUAGUGGCUUACCAAGGCUUUGACGGGUAGCCGGCCUGAGAGGGUGACCGGCCACAUUGGGACUGGGGUACGGCCAAGACUCCUACGGGCGGCAGCAGUGGGGGAUAGUGCACGAUGGGCGGAAGCCUGAUGCAGCAACGCCGCGUGCGGGAUGACGGCCUUCGGGUUGUAAACCGCUUUCGCCUGUGACGAAGCGUGAGUGACGGUAAUGGGUAAAGAAGCAACGGCUAACUACGUG
rnacentral:rRNA from 1 species